rnacentral:rRNA from 1 species
UACUCCUACGGGAGGCAGCAGUAGGGAAUAUUGCACAAUGGGGGAAACCCUGAUGCAGCGACGCCGCGUGAGUGAAGAAGUAUUUCGGUACGUAAAGCUCUAUCAGCAGGGAAGAUGAUGACGGUACCUGACUAAGAAGCCCCGGCUAACUACGUGCCAGCAGCCGCGGUA